UACGGGGGGAGCAAGCGUUGUUCGGAUUUACUGGGCGUAAAGGGCGCGUAGGCGGUCAGCACAAGUCAGUUGUGAAGUCUCCGGGCUUAACUCGGAAAGGUCAACUGAUACUGUGCGACUAGAGUGCGGGAGAGGAAAGUGGAAUUCCUGGUGUAGCGGUGAAAUGCGUAGAUAUCAGGAGGAACACCGGUGGUGUAGACGGCUUUCUGGACCGUAACUGACGCUGAGACACGAAAGCGUGGGUAGCAAACAGG
rnacentral:rRNA from 1 species